rnacentral:rRNA from 6 species
AAAACGACUCUCGGCAACGGAUAUCUCGGCUCACGCAUCGAUGAAGAACGUAGCAAAAUGCGAUACUUGGUGUGAAUUGCAGAAUCCCGUGAACCAUCGAGUUUUUGAACGCAAGUUGCGCCCGAAGCCAUCCGGCCGAGGGCACGUCUGCCUGGGCGUCACGC